UCUCUACUACUGUCCUCUGAAUUUUCCAUACCUCGUUCCGUUUCGAUCCUCUUUUCGACUUCGGUUCGUUCUUUACUAUUUUUCAUACUGUCACCGGAAGUUUUCGCCCUUCCGUAUUUUCUGGGUUCUGUCAUUCAGCUGGGGACUUUCGUUCUGUUAACAACUUCCAGUGCUCGCUUCGGCGGCCUGGCUAAGUUCGUCAUGUAGUCCCACUGUUUCCCUAACCCGAGAGGUCUCAUCUAGUUUUAACAACUUAGUAUAAUCUGUACUUUGUCCUCGGGUUUUGUAUCUGGUUCGUCACACUGUGCGUUGAGGUCAUUCUCCGCCAUGUGUUCCUUCACUCCAAGAUCAGGAGCAGCAAACUUGUGUAGUGAAGUGAUGUGAAUAUGGACAAAUCUUCUGAGUGAGAAGUUCGCAGUCAGUGCUGUGAUUAUGUGUUUUAAUAAUAAGUCUGUACUUCAGUAAGUCGGUAUUUUAGAUUAUUAGUCCAAAGUUCUGAAUAUGUUUGCAAGUAGCAAAACGGAUCUGUUCAAGUCAUGUAGUCUUUUCGUUGAGACAUUUUGAGUUUGCGUUCACCUGGGUAUUGGACCAAUCUUGCCCAGUGUGUUUUAGUCAUACCUUGGGAGAGGUUAUCUUUGCACUCUUCAGUGAGUUAGUUAAGUUCUGUUGAUUUGUAUUGAAUUUGUACGGUUCUUAUUCGAGCUGUUGUUAUUCUGUUGAAGCCAGUGCCCAUGGCGUGCCCGUGCUGAUUUUAAUUUAGUUCUGUUUGUGAGUACCGUUGGUUCGGUUUGUUGGUAUUUGUGAUUAUGUGUAUGCAUAUGAGUAUGGAUUUGUAUGGGCUUGAGUUUUGCCCUUUGUGUGAGUUCUGUGCUUGAGUUAAGUGUGAUCUGUCCGUUAUUAAAAUGGUUGUUUCUGUUAUUGUUAAA